rnacentral:rRNA from 1 species
CGUGUAGGCAGGAAGGAAAGUCAGAUGUGAAAUCCCUGGGCUCAACCCAGGAACUGCAUUUGAAACUCCCUUUCUUGAGUGUCGGAGAGGAAAGCGGAAUUCCUGGUGUAGAGGUGAAAUUCGUAGAUAUCAGGAGGAACACCGGUGGCGAAGGCGGCUUUCUGGACGACAACUGACGCUGAGACGCGAAAGCGUGGGGAGCAAACA